UACAGAGGUCUCAAGCGUUGUUCGGAUUCAUUGGGCGUAAAGGGUGCGUAGGUGGCGCUGUAAGUCGGGUGUGAAAUUUCGGAGCUUAACUCCGAAACUGCAUUCGAUACUGCGGUGCUUGAGGACUGGAGAGGAGGACUGGAAUUCAUGGUGUAGCAGUGAAAUGCGUAGAGAUCAUGAGGAAGACCAGUGGCGAAGGCGGGGUCUCU
rnacentral:rRNA from 1 species